CCUACGGGAGGCUGCAGUGGGGAAUAUUGGACAAUGGGCGAAAGCCUGAUCCAGCCAUGCCGCGUGUGUGAAGAAGGCCUUCGGGUUGUAAAGCACUUUCAGUGGGGAAGAAAGCCUUGGGGCUAAUACCCUCGAGGAAGGACAUCACCCACAGAAGAAGCACCGGCUAACUCCGUGCCAGCAGCCGCGGUAAUACGGAGGGUGCGAGCGUUAAUCGGAAUUACUGGGCGUAAAGCGCGCGUAGGCGGUCUGAUAAGCCGGUUGUGAAAGCCCCGGGCUCAACCUGGGAACGGCAUCCGGAACUGUCAGGCUAGAGUGCAGGAGAGGAAGGUAGAAUUCCCGGUGUAGCGGUGAAAUGCGUAGAGAUCGGGAGGAAUACCAGCGGCGAAGGCGGCCUUCUGGACUGACACUGACGCUGAGGUGCGAAAGCGUGGGUAGCAAACAGGAUUAGAUACCCUUUAGUC
rnacentral:rRNA from 1 species